UGGGGAAUAUUGGACAAUGGAGGAAACUCUGAUCCAGCCAUGUCGCGUGAGUGAAGAAGGCCUUCGGGUUGUAAAGCUCUUUCGCGUAUGAAGAUAAUGACGGUAAUACGUAAAGAAGCUCCGGCUAACUUCGUGCCAGCAGCCGCGGUAAGACGAAGGGAGCGAGCGUUGUUCGGAAUUACUGGGCAUAAAGGGAGCGUAGGCGGUUUAAUUAGUCAGAUGUGAAAGCCCUGGGCUUAACCCAGGAACUGCAUCUGAAACGGUUAGACUUGAGGUCAGAAGAGGAGAAUGGAAUUCCCAGUGUAGAGGUGAAAUUCGUAGAUAUUGGGAGGAACACCAGAAGCGAAGGCGAUUCUCUGGUCUGUACCUGACGCUGAGGCUCGAAAGCGUGGGGAGCGAACA
rnacentral:rRNA from 1 species